ACAGAAGAUAGGCAUAGGGGAGAAGUACGAUCAAGAGAUGUAUUAGACUUAGGGGCGGUCUCAAAUUCAAGAUUUAAAGAAGCAGAUGUAGGAAUUCCUGGACUGUGAUGAGAACAAUUCUUAGUAGAACUGCUGUCUGAGCUAGAUGAUUGAGUCUCUAGAGUGACAAUACAUACUAGAGCUUCUGAGACAUUGUAUGAAUUAUGGAAAGGUAAGAAACCUAGUGUUAAAUACUUUCACAUUUUCGAAAUUGUUUGUUAUAUCCUUGCAGAUUAAGAGUAUCACAAAAAAUUGGAUGUUAAGUCCGAUAGAGAAAUUUUCUUAGGCUAUUCUUCAAAUAAUCAUGUUUACAGAGUAUGCAAUACUAGAACUCAGUCAGUAAUGAAAACUGUUAAUAUAGUUGUCAAUGGUGAUGAAAGACUGUUUCACAGAGAACAUGAUGAUGACAAAGCUAUGAUAAGCAAAAUCCUGAUAAGGCCGUUGAAAGAUUACCAAAGGAUGAUGUUGUUUCUCCACCUAAUCCUGAAGCUAAGGAUGAUGGUAAUAGCUUUGAGUCUACUCAGAGAACUAUUGAUGCAGAUACUGAAACCAGAACCCCUGUUCUACAAGUUGCUCCAUCGUCACAUGUGACGAAGAAUCAUCCAACAAAUUGCAUUUUUUUAUUCUUUUAUUCCAUUCAAACUCGUAAGUCACAACAAAAAAACUAAGAUGUAAAGAAGAAAUCAAAUGAUCAUUCUUAUGUUCUCUUUUAUUUUUUCAUUUUUGUUGUAUUUAUUUACUUCUAUUUAUAUAAAUACGUUUGCUUGUAUUCUUUCAUAGAUGUUUAAAUAAUGUAAUCUUAGAUUUUGUUUUUG
rnacentral:lncRNA from 1 species